rnacentral:lncRNA from 1 species
UGGAAAUCGCAGCUCCUGACGCCUUCUGCGCGGCCCGGCGAGGCUCCUCCUUCGCGGGGUGUUGUCAGGAGGCCGGGCCGGGCCCGGGCCCGCGGCGGGGCCCAACCAGCGCCGGGGCUCCGCGCUCCCGCCCUCCCCGCGCCGAGCACGAGCUCGCGGGCAGCGCGGGGCCGUGCGGGCGCGGACGCAACUUUCGGCGUGUGCCGAGCGGCGGGGCGGGCGCGGUACGAGCGGAGCGGAUCGGCAAUAGAUGUAUUGCGCGUCCGACUCCCUCCCUUCCCGCCCCUCCCUCCGCCGAAGGUGGGACGGCCGUACGGCGCGGUACGCCCGGCGCUCCAACCGCGGAGCCGCCCCGUCGGGUACCGCCGGGCCGGGUCGAGCCGGGCGGGGCGGGAGGGUGCGCAGCCCUCGCGGGGAACCGGGGCGGAUCGGGCCGUACGGACAGCGCCGACUGCCCGCCGAUUGGCGUCUGCGAUCCUCUCCGAUCGCGGGGAUCUGUUUCCCACCGGGAACAGCCCGGGAUUACCCCCGCUGGUUGCUCUCCCGGAUCCCGGCCGGGGGAAACUCCUUACUCCGGUGCUCGGCCCGAGCCCUCCGGCCCCGCUGCCGGCCCGGGGCGGUGUUUGACAAGGGUGGGCCGGGCCAGGGGCUCCGGCCACCUCCCCGCAGCCGAACGGCAAGCGCCUUCCUGGGAGGGGCCCGCGCCGGGUUCGGGCUUCGAACCCCGAUCCACGGGAUCGGCCGGCGACACCGGGCGUUGCUGCGGGCGGGGCAGGCGCGGCCCGCACUACACUUCCCGGAGGGCCCUGCUGCCACCGGGCCCGCCCCCGCCCCUCCCGGCAUCCGAUUGGUCAUCUCCCCACGGCCGUCCGUCCCUCUCCUCCUCUCAUUGGCUGGCGGAGCCGUCGCUCCGCGGGGGGUAGAACAGGGUGGGGGAGUGGCGGGGCGCUGGCGGCACGCGGGAGCUCGGCGCUGACAGGGCGGCGCGCGGAGGCGCUGCGGGACGGGCCGGGACAGGACGGGCACCUCCUGCCCGCGGCAGGUGAGGAGCGGAGCGGGACGCGGCGACGGCGGCGCCUCUACUGCCCACGGCCUCGCUGCCCCGGCUCUCGGGGCGCCCUCUGCCGGCGAGGCAGCUGGGCGGGAUCUCCACCCCGGGGCCUCUGGGCCGGCUGCUGCCCCGUCUGGCACUGAAGGGAGCGGGGCCCGCAGGAGGCGGUGAGCUCCGUAAGACUGGUUUAAGCAGUGCAGAAGUUCAUGGAUGGAAGAAGAGUCCUUGUUUCAGAACACCUACACCUGAAGAUUUUAUAAACGCCAUUAGAAGAGCUGGCGUGCAGGAGGAAUGGAUCUCAUCUGUCUGCUGUGAUUCUUGACCCACCUAAUCGGCUAAUGGCCACGAGCAAUAACAGCGUGGCUCAGGGGAGCGGAGCUGGGGAGAGAUGCAGCCGCUUGGGGCAGAGAAGCACUGCGUUGUACCGAAGGUGUUGCACAUGAUCCUGCCGUUGAUGACCGAACCUCCCUGAAAUCUUCUUAUCAGUUGCUGCCAAGAUGAGAAGGAUAGCAGGAAAGAGGAGUGCAUAAGUGAUUCUCAUGACAGUUAAUUUCAUCAUUUUAUCAAAUGACAGGUUGUUGGUUUUUUUACCUCAAAACUCGAUUGUCAUGACAAGAUGCUUUUGGAAGUCAUCUUUGUAAAAUGAAACUGACAAUUUUUAGGACACAAAGAGUUAUUGUAUCUUGCUAUACAAUGUUGUCAUUAUGGUAAGCCGCUGGAAGGUCUUUAUUUCUGAACUAAUUGAACUUGCAUACCUCACUCAUUUAUUUGAAAGUCUGUUGAAUGCCACGUGAGAAGUUUUCUUGCCAGAGUUCCUUUUUUUUUUCUCCAAUGAAACAGUUAUUCUUACAACACUCAAUUUGUUAUUGUCUAAAUUACUGUUGCCCUAGCCUCCUGCAAAGUGUUUCUGUUUAGUAAUUCUUGAACAAAUAAGGAAUGAGCCAGGUUUUGUCCUUUCAUGUGUUGAUCAGCAUAUUUUACCUCUCUAUUAAACCUUCCUUAGUUUUCAGAAUGGCAGCAUUACAAAGAAAGGUGCUUUACUUUUUGUUGUUUUUUUUUUUCUCCCCAAUUGCAAGUGUCUUGUGCAAUGAUUUUGUGAAUGUGUGCAUUGCUAAAACACAAUUACUGGGAGGAGAGACAAACUGUUGGGAAUGUCAUGUUAUGCCAAAUUAAGAAUUAGUAACUCCUACUUUCUCUGCGCAGUCUUUUCAACUAUAACUCAACCUCUUGCAUCUGGCUAAUACUUUGACUCUAGUGGAACUAUUGUGUCUUUGCAGUUGCAUUUUAGACUAAUUUCAGAUUCGUAUGUGUUGUCCUUGUUUUUGUGUUGUUUUUUUUUUUUCCUCCACUAGUCUGCUUUAAACCACUGGGAUUAACUUCAGAGAAGGCAAGAGAUACAACCUCCUUUGUCAGCAGCUGUGCUGGUUAAAAAGGAGGCUUCACGCACACUAGCUUGCUCUCUCUUUUGCAGGUUAUUGUUCCCGCUAUGCAAGGAAGUUGAACUGUUUUCCUGAGCAUACCCAGAAUUAAUUCAGCACAAGUUGAUCAGGCUAUCUGACCAGAACGUGCUGGUUACUGCUGGCCUGGGCCAUUCUGAUGGAAGAGCAGGAAGCAUGCAGACCAGCUGCAUCAAUGGCUUGCCUGGGAAGGGGUGUCACCAACAGAGGAGUUGUGGAGCUGGUGGUGGUGAUUUGGUGUUUUCAGCAGGUGCAGCUGCAUCUCUAAGGUAAAAAUUUGACCUGUUGGAAAGCUGUGAAGCUAUGUGAUGUGUAAUAUUUGUGUUUCAGAGAUGUACUGGAUAAUGUAAAGUAAACCUUUGCUCUAUGACUCGUACUCUUCAGUGUGAGUGGAGAGAGGUGGUGUGAGUGUGUGUAGCUGGCAGGGGAUGGUGAUUUCAGGGAAAUCCUCUGUGGUAAAGAUGCUUGAAUGGUACAAAUGUUUCUAUAUCUAGCAGACACUGUUGUGUGAACACAUUCAUCAGAGAGGUGGCCUUAACCACUACUUGCCUUGGAAGAAGGCUUUUGACACUUCGUGUCCUGACCAGCUUUCAGAGAAAAGGGAAGAGCUGUUGCCUCUGCGGCAGAGCCUGUCUGCCUACCAACUGCUGCUGGUCUGUCAGACUCCUGCAGUAAGGGCAGAAAUCCAGGAAGACGUGCAAGCUCUCGAUGUUCCCUGUGCUAGUACGGGUGAUCUUUGGUACUGGAGGCAUUCUGGGUAAAACCAGCACACACUUCUUCAAAACCGUCCCUUUCUGCAUGAAGACUGUGGAUUGUAGGUGCUGUCCUAUUAACAGAAUUUGGGCAGACAAAGAACAAGAGGCUUUCUGAGCAGUCAGAAAUCUGAGAGCAGCAACUCUGCUCGUGUCUCCUCUUGGGGCACUGCUAGAUGAAAAGAAUUCAGUCACAGAAAGGACUGAGCUUUCACCUCAGCUGGUGCUGCAUUUGAUACCUUUAAAUUGGUUCUGAGCAAAAGAAUGAGGAAGUAUGCACUGGCCUCUCUCGUGUGCCAUGUGUAAGGGAGGAAAAUAAUGUAUGAUAUCUGGAUAAGAACAUGGUGCGCAUCAGGGAUAGCACCAUGACACUGCUUUGCAGGAGAGAACAGCUUCCCCUGGCUGGCGUAUCCUCAGCAGCACUGCUGUACUUUCAGACCAAAGCUGUUCCCCAGCCUCAUGUUUGCCUCAAAAAUAGUGGCAUGAGGAGGUGAGACUUGGGCAUUCUUAAGACUAAGGCAGAUAAUCCCAGGCUGGGGACUGUGCAUAAACUUAGAGUGGCUAGUAUUUAAAAAUUGUGUAUGAAAAGAAAUAAUAGAUGUGAUAUGACUGUGUGAGACCUAUUGCGUUCCUGCCAAGUUUUCAGUUAAUCUGGUUAUGCACUGCUAUACACUGAGGAAAAAAUUUGAGCUCAUCAAACUGUUUUUUAAUCAUGUUAGCCUCUCCUUGCAGCACAGUGCUCAGUGCAUGCAUAGCUCAAGGAGGCAAACCACAUAAUUUCCAAAAUCCUCAGUUUGCCACUAAUGCAUCUUCUAAGGUGAAGGUGUGCGUGGCUCCAGGCACGGGACGGAGUGCUGUGAUGGCAGACUGAGGUCAGGCCUCUGCUGAGCUCUCUGUGUUCAGAAGUGAAGCACCAUGUCCCAAGGACUGCUGACACAUCUGUGGCUGCUGAGGACUGAGCCUACAGAGCUCCUUCAGACAGCCUGGAAUCCUCACAUCUUAAUGUGGGUCAUUGUCAUACCCAUGUUAAAAUACUUAAUGAAAUACUUGUGGCUUUCUAACCACCCUUUUUGUCUACUCAAGUGUUAAUACCAUAUAGUUACACAUAAUUAAACCAGUUCUGUAAAAUAACAUCUGUCUUGUGUAGAGCACUGUCAUGACUACGUUAUACCAAUGAGUAAAAUUUUAUGUCUAAGCACUUAAAAUGAUCAAGUACUAUAGUUAAGACUGUCAUAUUGUUUAUGUAGCACUAAAAAGAAAACAAAAUACAAUUUUGGAGCAUAUAUAUGUGUGUAUGUGUGUAUAUAUAUAAAAAAAUAUAUAUGUAUAUAGAUAUACAUAUAUGCCUUUUUUUUUUAUAAAAGCACCAAAUAAUUGGUUGGUUUCAACUAGACUUUCUGGCUCUUCAGUGGUUGCUGCAUUCUGUAUGAAUAUAUCAGGAUCCCGGGCAUUUGAUAAUUUAUUUUUAUUAUUACAAACACAUGAUUUCUCUGUAUGUUCACCACACAUACGUUGGAGGAAACACAGUUUACCUUCUUGAAUACCAUUGUACUCUUACUUUCAAACUCCUUUAACUUUAGUUGAAUCUCAGUUGAAUAAAACACAUUCCUGAAAACAAUCCAUACGUCUGUAAUAUGGCAGUUGAUUUUAUGUGACCGUUUUCGUAUUCCAGACACAGCAAAACAUUUUCAAGGCAAUUUGUGUUGAUGGUAUAUGGGGAUAAAGAUCAGUUACUGACAACGUCUAAGGUGCAAGUUUUUUAAAGACUAAUGAAUUUUAGUACCAAUGAGAUUAAGACUAAUGAGUUUUAAAAGACUAAUGAAUAAUUAGAAAUUAUCAGAAAAGGAAUAGUAGAUUUUCUAGCACUUUAGGAUUUUGAAGGCAUAUGAAAUGGUUUCAUAGAUGUGCAUGCUUGAUCAAAUGGCUGAGUAGGGUGGAAGAAUUCCUUGUGGGCUUCUGUGUCUUUUGUUACACCUGGACUCAGACUAAGUCGUCUUAGUUGUGCUUUUGGCUUAGAAGAGAGAGAGGUACCUCGGUGUAGCAAAGAGCUGGGGCAUGGCAGCUCCCACUGAACUGCUAGGCACGUUUUCUUAAAUCUUUUCUUUAAAAACAACAACAAAAACAUUUGGAGCACAUGGAACAAAACCAACUAAUUUGGCAAGUCUUCUCUCUUCUACAAUCAAGCCUUUUUCAAAAAUGCUAUUUAAUAUCACCACACUUGGUUUCAAGGAGUGUGCUGUUUUAUUGGCUUUAGGUAGGUUUAUUUCCUCCACCCAUCCACCCCAGUGCCAAUUAAUCAAACAUCACAUGGAUUUUUUUCAGAGCAACUGUCUUUUGUAUGCAAAAGUGUAAUGUCUCCUCACUGCUAGAAAUAAUUAUUAGGUUUAAAAUAAUCUGACAGCAUCCUGCUGUGUAUAAAUUAGGUUUGUUCUCUGCUAAGAUUAGUUAGCUGGUACCCAUUCACUAACACGUCAUAAAAAUGCAAUCGCAAGUUGAUCGCAUUUGGUUAUCUGCCUUUUUUCUUCUUAGUGGGCUUUUUGUUGCUGUGCUGUCACCCAGGCUGAAAUAAAUGUAUGCAAGCCAUGCAAUUCAAAGUUCUGUGCAGCUUGGGGAGAUGGUACUGGCUCUUCAGCAGCAGGCUCAGGGACACCGACACUGCAGAAGGGAAGCAGCGGUUUGCACUUCAACUUCUGAAUCUUAUGCAACUUUGGUUUUGGCCAACUUGGGUAUCUUCUCUCUCAGGCAAGCAGUAUGUUAUCAGUGAGGUCCCAAAUGCCAGAUGUAAUUACCUCACGUGUUUAGAGGGGCGGUGUUAUGUUUUGACGUGUAUGUGCAAGCCUGCUUUCAUGCAGAAGAACAUAUUUGACAUGGGAAGAAUGCUGUGUGGUUCAGAAGUUAGAAACAUUAUUUAAAGUUGUGCACUGGUGUUUUAGAUUUCACAAAAGGCCACAAAGUUUUUAUUUCUACGUUUAUGAUUGAUUAGGGUUAGAGUUUUAAAAGCUUAACGCCGGCUACAAGUGCUUUGUAGUCAGUCACUGAGAAUUAUAGGCUUGGCAUAGUUCACAUUUCUAUUCUUCAGUAUAUCCAUUACUGUUAGAUGCUGAGUAGUCAUUGCACACAGAUGACUGAUUUUUUUAUUUUAUUUUUUUUAUUUUACAGUUCUACACAUGUGGAAAAAUACUUUGUUAAAGCAGCUCCUGGGUGAACGGGGUAAUUAAAGAACUGCGCCGCUUUUAUUGGAGUUGACACAUGCUGCACGUUCCUUAAAACUCAGUAUGUGAGCAGAAUGCUUCCAAGAUUUAUUGCCAGUCGGACAAGUAGGGAUAUUUUCAAUAGGAGUAAAGAUAACUUCAAUUUUUACACUGUUAAAUAAAACUGUCUUUAGGAAGAGAACUAUUACUGCAGUACAUUGCUUAUGCCCUUGUAUUUUUCUGUAUAUACACAUUUCAUAGACACACCUGCACACAAAUGCUGGAGACCUGAGCACUUUUAUUUGACAGUAAUUGUAUGAUCUGUUUUUAUUUAUCUGGAGAAAAAAUAGUGUUGUAGUGCUGACUGAGGAUCAUAGUUUGCUUGGUGCCAGAGGAAUCCUGCAGUUGGUUUCUUUAUUUAAACUGAAGUGCAAUCGUUAGUUUGACUUGCAGCUCUUAGUGUCUGAGAGCUCGGUGUAGCAAGUGAGGAAUCUCCUGUAACAUAAAUUGGAGACUUGGUUUUGUUUUAAAUGAUAUGAUGAGUGCAACAUUCUUCAUGCAUAAUGCCUUAGAAGUUGUGAAAAAAGUAGACUCAUAACUGCAGCACACAGUAACUAAGUGCGUUGUACAUGAAAUCCCUCAAAAUGUCUAUUGAACAGAUACAGUUACUGAUAGUGUCAUUUUUAGUGAUGCGAUCUGUUUCCUUUCCCCUGCUUUCUUUUUCCAGCAUAGCGGAACAAUUUGAAGUCCAUUUGAGAACACUCAGUCUGCCUUUCCUGUUAACAGCUCAUGUCUUAAAAGUAUCUUUAACAUUCCUUUUUUAAAGCUACGAGUAUGUGUUUAAGGCAGAGUUCACAAACACGUAGCUCUCAAGAUCAAGCCAUUUCUUAGCUCACUUUGCAUGCAUUUUGUUCACACAGCUCAUGGUGUGGAGCACCCUGCCAAGCACACUCUGCUCCUCUGGGCUGCAGUGAGAAGUGGAUGACCGGUGCUGCACACAGCUAAGCACACAGCCUUAUCAGCAAGCGUGCUUUUAGGUUAAAGCACAGCCAUCUCCAUACUGACAGAGAGGAAGUCACAGAGUUACAGCGUUGACCAGCACAGUGGCUGGAGGUGAUUUCUUUUUUUUUUCUCUCCCCCUCCAAGUCUUCUGUUAAAAUAGUGAUAAUUAAAUCAUAGACAACUUUUGCAUGGAAAGCCCAGUAUGGCGAUGUUAUUUAAUAAGAGGUAAGAAAUGCUUUGGCAACAUUGAAUUCUUAGUAGCAUCAUGUAUCAUCUGUGUUUUGUGUGGUUGCAAAAAUGUUGCUCUUACUGCUAUUUGGUUUAAGACCAUCAUGUUUCAUUUCUGUAUUUUGAGACACAUAAACUGUUAAAGCUCUAAGCACUUCUCAGGCAUUACCUCUGACUUGCUAUUAUUGCAUACUAUAAAACAUAAUAAAACACAAUAUUAAAGUCUAUGCUGAAAGAAUAUUAUUCGGUGGCUAUGAAUAAAAAAUGUGGACAAGUUUUUAAAAUCUGUUUGUUUGUUUUUUGCUAAUUCUUUACAGAAAGUGUUACAAUUAUUAGCAUUAUUUUUAAUACAAAAAAAGUGCUCCUUACAGGGAUGCAUAACGUGCAGUAGUAUACUGGUGUUUUAUAUUUCUAGGGCUGUAUUAUAGAAACUGAAAAUAUACACUUUUUAGCAUCUUGUUAGCAUAUGCAGUAGGAACUAGUUUUAUAUCUGAACGUGCCAGUGAGAUGCUAUGUAUUUUUAGCUGUUUCUGCAUCCCAAUAAAUUUAUCCCACAGACCGGGCUCUGCAAGUUGAAGAUGAAAAAUUGGUUUCCGAACUCCUUGUGUGCUGCUUUAACAUCGCAAGUAGAUUCCCAUGUGCUAAAGUGUAAACUACCAACUAAUCCGUAGCAGUUUUACAGGAGAGAGUCACUUAAUUAACACUUUUAAUUUCAGAUGUGAAAGAGAGGUCUGGGAAGUGAAGAGAGGCUUCGUGCUUCCUAGCUGAAGAGUUGUUGUGCUCUGAGUCCGCUGUUGAUAGCACCCAUAGACCACCUCCUUCCUGCUAAUUAGGCCUCAUGAACACGGCCUCUGGAAAUGGCUUGAGAAGUGUGUUGGGUGGGUGGUUUUUUUCCGACCAGCCACUACGCCAUCAUAAAUAAGGGAACGGUGCUGUAUGUAGCUAUUACACCAGGCUCGUUUGGCAGGCCGUAAUUUAAUAGAACAACAACGAUCAGACUGGUAUAUCAGUUAAUUUUCAAAACAUUUUAUUCCACACAAAUUAGCACAGGUCCUGGAGGGCAAAAUGACAAGAGGUUACUCGUACACUGUGUAUUUAAUUAAUUGAAAAAUGCUCAGAUUGCUUUUACAGUUGUUAUUAGAAAGUAGAAUCAGUGUUGCCAGUGCUCAACCAUAAUUAGAGCCCCAGGGAAUUAAAUAUUUAGCAUUAGUAAUGUAACAGCACUUAGGACACAAAUUUCUAUUUUUGUAAUGAAAGCAAUGCAGCAUAAGUGCAAAUGGCUGAAACGACAGCUGUGACAAGUGAAGCAGCCUGGGAUAUUUCAAUAGGACACCUCAUUGGACAGCAAGUCUUACCGCAUUACUCGUUCGUAAGAGAUCUGCAAGUCGAAAUCCCAGCAGCCACGCAUGGCACCCCGUGCUCAGGCUUCUAAUUGCUCGCAGGACGAACGCUUGGACAAAUGUCACAGCGCCAGGGGUGGGGACGGGCCGUGUUGCCCCACGUACCGGGCAGGGCAGAGCGGGAAGCCAGCCCUUGUUUGUUGGGACUUUAAUUACAUCUUAAGCAGAAGCGCUUUCAGUAGCAGCACAGGGCGAGAGGUCGGACGUUGGGCUCUAACGAGCGGUGCUGGCGGAGGGCCCGAGGGAUUGGCUCUGCGCGGGGCCGUGCACAGCUCCGAGCUGCUUUGUUCUGAGCCGCGCGGCCCGUCGCGAGGUGCGGUGCUAAGCAGGAAUAAAGCACGACGACUUCAGUUCUCUGCUUUUUCUCUUCUCAGGGUGGAGGGGAAGGAGGGCAGUCCGAAGCCACCUGUGUUUCUUGAAUAUAAAAAAAAAAAAAAAAAAAAAGCCCAGUAUUUGGGCCCGGCACGGCUUGUCAGUGUAUUUGAGGCUGUGUUUCCUCAGAACGCGCCAUCGGCUGGAAUUGCUGCCGCGCCGUUUGCAGACGCGCUUCGCUCCCGCUCGGCACGCGUUCGCUGUCCGCGCCGCGCUGCUCGGAGCCGCCGUGACGCCCGGCCGGGCGGGAACAGCGCCACGUGGCGGCCCCGCCCUGCUCACACCGUGACCGCCCUGCCCGGCCGCGGGGUGCGGCUCCUCCGCGUUGGAGACGGUUCGGGCAGGGCCGGCCUUAGCCUGUGUGAAACUCAAGGCUCUUCUUCAGCCUGGCGCCCGGGGCGGGGUUUGGGCUGUGGCUGCGGGUUUUCCUGGAGAUGGACCUCAGCGCUCGGGGCUGCUCGGCAAUCCGGCCCCGCAGGGGCUCUCUGGUAAGUGGCAGGUGGUGCUGCACGAGGCUGGGGCCGCGGAUGGACACCGGUUGGCCGCAGGGUGCUGAGGUACGGCCGGUGUCACGGGGACAGGAGCUUUGGGUUGGGGUGUUUCCCGAGCAGGGAGCGCGUGGGGACAAAUAGCCUCUUGUGAGGGAGCUGCGGGCCCGGCGAGCAGCCGUGUGUGUCUGCGGGGUCCCGCGGGCUGAGCCCCGCUCCGGCUCCUGAGCCGUGUGGACGGACCCCUGCGCUCUGUGCCACACGGACUGGACGCUGCGGUUGGGAUGCAGCUCCGGGUUAUUGAGAGUGUGAAAAUCCUCACCGUCUUCUGCUGUUGUACACCACGCGGUGGUGCUGCCCUUCGCCCCGUCCGUUUGAGGCUUUGGGCCCUUGGCGGCGGUGCUUCGGCACCCAUCGCUGGCUGCAGAGCGUGGUCUGAGAGCUCUGUGUUCUGGCCGUGUUUUAACGCCCAUUUCGUGCUGUAAAGCUGCUCUCUCCCAGGGCUCCCGAGGCUCUGUUCUUACUGCUGGGAGCAGCUCUGCAGGUGCCCCGCAGCGCCCGCCCCGCUGUGAGCUGUGCCUGCAGCACGCUUUGCCAGCCGGUGCCUUGUUGGCCAUGAAGGUGUGUUCGUUGUCUGUUUCAGUUUUGCCUUUUGACAUCUUUCCGUUUCCGUUCCUAGUGCUGUAAAAAACAGAGGCAGGCCCUGGCCGUUCCUGGUUCCUCACCUGUCCGGUUGAGGAUACGGUGCCCUUUUCUGCUGCGGAUUCUGUCAGGUCCUCUCUUUGGAGACGUGCCACAACCUACUCUGCCACCAACCUCUACUUUAAAACAAAAGCUGAAAGAGAUGAGCUUCAGCCCAGGGUUGCUCAGUGUUAGUUCUGAUGCUCUCCCUAAAACCAGUCGAACGCACACAGGAAUUCACACACUUGCAGUAUGACAGAUCUCUCCUGAAUUUCUUCUAGGGUUUGUGUUCCGUGUGUUUCCUUUCUUUUUUAUUUUCUCCUACUCAACUGAAGCCAGAUCCUGAGUCCAUGGGUAUCUGCUAAUGUCAUUAAACCCACUGUGCCAUUGAAGGGCAAAGUGAAGGUUCAAGUCCUGCUCAAGCUCUCUACGGUCUUUAGGGCCUGAUUCUGCAGCAGGGCAUGAUGUUACAGCAAUGAGUCUGUCAAUACAAUAAGGAUGACAACUCAUCUAACUGUGGUUACAGAAUUGGACCCAUGGAGAGAGGGGCUUCCUACUGCUACUUGUUUUAUUAUAAACAGGGAAGCCGGACCACAAAAAUACAUUCAAAAAUUGCAUCCCACUGUUCUGAAAACUCUGAAAUUGGGUUCAUGCUGUGCUGCGUUGCUGAUCUGCAUGUUUCCAGACAGUUGGAAAACUUAAACUUGCAUUACAAACCUAGGCCAUACUGAACAAAUGAAGGACGAAUUUUCAGUCUCAGCUCUCCGUUUUGGGGGUGGG